rnacentral:rRNA from 1 species
UGGACGAAAGUCUGACCGAGCAACGCCGCGUGAGUAAAGAAGGUUUUCGGAUCGUAAAACUCUGUUGUUAGAGAAGAACAAGGACGUUAGUAACUGAACGUCCCCUGACGGUAUCUAACCAGAAAGCCACGGCUAACUACGUGCCAGCAGCCGCGGUAAU